UACGGUGGGGGCAAGCGUUGUUCGGAAUUACUGGGCGUAAAGGGCUCGUAGGUGGCCAACUAAGUCGGACGUGAAAUCCCUCGGCUUAACCGGGGAACUGCGUCCGAUACUGGAUGACUUGAGUUCGGGAGAGGGAUGCGGAAUUCCAGGUGUAGCGGUGAAAUGCGCAGAUAUCAGGAGGAACACCGGUGGCGAAGGCGGAUCUCUGGGCCUUGCCUGACGCUGAGGCGCGAAAGCUAGGGGAGCGAACAGG
rnacentral:rRNA from 1 species